UACGUAGGGUCCGAGCGUUUGUCCGGAAUUACUGGGCGUAAAGAGCUCGUAGGUGGUUUGUCGCGUUGUUCGUGAAAACUCACAGCUUAACUGUGGGCGUGCGGGCGAUACGGGCAGACUUGAGUACUGCAGGGGAGACUGGAAUUCCUGGUGUAGCGGUGGAAUGCGCAGAUAUCAGGAGGAACACCGGUGGCGAAGGCGGGUCUCUGGGCAGUAACUGACGCUGGAGGAGCGAAAGCCGUGGGGAGCGAACAGG
rnacentral:rRNA from 1 species